UAAGCUUUAGACACGAAGUGUCCUGAAGCCACAUCGAAAAGAAACGAAAAUUGCUAACCUUCCGCAAAGAAUUACUAGCAAGACUAGCAAGAAUAGGGGAAUGAUCAGAACAAUUUUUAACAAGAACCUGAUAAGAACAAGAUUCCCAUUCAUCCAGACACACUCCAUUACAUAAAGCCCUAUCCAGUCUUCUGUGAAUUCUAUGCAACCCUCUCC
rnacentral:lncRNA from 1 species